GCCACGGUGGUCUAGCGGUUAGAACGCUGGCCUUGUAAUCCUGGGGUCUCGGGUUCGCUUCCUGGCGGUGCCC
rfam:Zootermopsis nevadensis contig29413, whole genome shotgun sequence.